rnacentral:rRNA from 1 species
AUACGGGGGGUGCAAGCGUUAAUCGGAAUUACUGGGCGUAAAGCGCGCGUAGGCGGUUUGCUCAGUCGGAUGUGAAAGCCCAGGGCUCAACCUUGGAACUGCAUAUGAUACUGGCAAACUAGAGUGUGAGAGAGGAUAGUGGAAUUUCCGGUGUAGCGGUGAAAUGCGUAGAUAUCGGAAGGAACAUCAGUGGCGAAGGCGACUGUCUGGCUCAACACUGACGCUGAGGUGCGAAAGCGUGGGUAGCAAACAGGAUUAGAAACCCCAGUAGUCC